CUGGCACUUGAGAUUCUAGGUACCAGGAUGAUUCUUCAGAUCCUCGUGACCUUGCGCUAGUGGUAGCAAUACAAACCAACGUAGUAUAAAGGAUAAAUUAACAUCACACCAAACAUGUAAAAAAAUACAUAAUAAUGAUCUACACAUUAAAAUAAGAUCCUAGGAACAGGAAUCAUUAAUUUUGGAGUUAUAGAUUUUAAGUUAUGAAUUUCCAAGGUUUUAUGUAUUUGAUACAAGAUUAAUUAAGAAAUAAAUUUUAUUACUGUUUUCAUGUCAAAACAGAGACACUAGGUGAUAAACAAUAAUAUUAAAAAAUUAUAGGAACUGAAAUGGGUUAAUUUGGACUUCAUAUGAAUUUCCUAUGAAUUAAACAAAUUCUAGCCAUUAUUUUCAUAUUAAAAAUCAUUUUCUAAACCCAUUUAUCUGAUUUUCUAAUUCUCUAGACUGAGCACGCAAAACCAGAGAACAGCAGGGGUUAACUCGCAAGAUUUCCUAGACUCCGUGAAUAGGAUCUGUGGACUACGGGUUGAUUCAGUGAUAACCCAGGGUCUCUUUAGUAAAUGUUCUCGGCCGAAGGGGUAUUGAAGAUAUCUGACCGCCAGAUUAGAGUCCAACGACCAAGAUUAAACCCACCCGCUACACGCACCACUACGCAACCAGAUCCGUGGGAUUAAUGAUGAACGACAGAUACACACGUGUUAUCCCUAGCCGUGCGAUGGGUGAUCAACGGCCAGCUCCUUAAUGCUACGAAGGGGGGUACCUACAGUGUCUAAUCCGGACCGUCCAAACGAGGAUCCAUGGUUCCUCAAUCAGCGACAACCCACAGUGUGUCCGACAACGGCGCAGAAUCUCCCCACGACGGAGCGGCCGGCGGCGCCACCGAUUUCCGGCCCCCGGUACCCCGCAGCCCGAUCUAGUACUAGUUACGCGAUGUGGACAAUGCGGUGAACUGGGUCGUGGCAAACUUACCACCGGCACGGCGAGGUUGUGGUCAGCAGCGAGGACGGCGGUCGCGACCUCCGAUGACCAACUCCGACCAGGAAUUGGCGGAGUUCCGCCGGCGCACCAGGGUGUUUCCGGACGUAAUCCCUGUCGCAAGCGCUGGGCUAUCAUCCCAUUUCCACCAGAGGGC
rnacentral:lncRNA from 1 species